rnacentral:rRNA from 1 species
GAUGAACGCUAGCGGCAGGCCUAACACAUGCAAGUCGAGGGGUAACAUAGAAAAGCUUGCUUUUCUGAUGACGACCGGCGCACGGGUGCGUAACGCGUAUACAACCUACCUUUUAGCGGGGAAUAGCCCAGGGAAACUUGGAUUAAUGCCCCAUAGUAUAUAGACUUCUCCUGAAGUUUAUAUUAAACAUUUAUGGCUAUUAGAUGGGUAUGCGUCCUAUUAGUUAGUUGGUAAGGUAACGGCUUACCAAGGCAGCGAUAGGUAGGGGUCCUGAGAGAGAGAUCCCCACACUGGUACUGAGACACGGACCAGACUCCUACGGGAGGCAGCAGUGAGGAAUAUUGGACAAUGGGCGAGAGCCUGAUCCAGCCAUGUCGCGUGCAGGAAGACUGCCCUAUGGGUUGUAAACUGCUUUUACAGAGGAAGAACCACCCCCACGUGUGGGGGUUUGACGGUACUCUGCGAAUAAGGAUCGGCUAACUCCGUG